GGGUGAUUAGCUCMGCUGGGAGAGCACCUCCCUUACAAGGAGGGGGUCGGCGGUUCGAUCCCGUCAUCACCCACCA
rnacentral:tRNA from 1 species